rnacentral:lncRNA from 1 species
UGUACUACAAGCAUAUGAAUCCGUUUCUGUUUUCAUUCAGAGGUGAAUGGGCAAGAGAGUGCGGCUGUUGCUGCUAGUGCUACUGCAUCUUGCGUUUGGUUUGCUUGUUGUGGUUGCUACGGCAGCCGGCCUUGGGGUGUAUGUGGCUUGCGAUUGAAGCGGCUUGGUGCCUUGGUGAUUUGGUGUGGAUUUAUGUGUGGCUUGAUGUGUGCUUGCUAUUAUGUGUUUAGGUUUGUAAUUUAGCAGCAGCGUGUGUAUGCCUGCGUGCAUCUCAUGGCUAGUUGCACGUGAGUGUGACCUCACAAUUAACUCACAAGUGUUUGCCAUCUAUCUGAACCAAGAUGCAGCUCAGCUGGUUGUGUGUCCUUUCAUGCAUGCAUCGACCUAGCUGCUUGUGUGAUUUUUUUUGUAAUGCUUUUGAGAAAAAAAAACAGAAAAAAGGCAGCAGCAAUGUGUGCCAGUUAUUUUUAUUCCCAAGUUUUGGAAUAGAGGCUAAAAUUCUGUAUUGACAGUACUGACCACAGACAAAUAUUUACAGUUUACAAAUCUUACUGACAACGAAUCGAAGCAAGUGCUAUUUCAGUUCUCAUUGGUGCUUGUAAAAUUAACCAAAACUGAGCAAAUUUAGCAACAUGAUAUGAUCAACCUCUCACGCAUGUUGCUGCAAACGAAGUCCAGGUUUGGCCCAGAAAUCAGCUUCUGCCGAGCUGUGCCCGAAUUGUUGUGAACUUGGGCGCUGCAUUGAUGUUGGAGUUUCAAAAUUCUGGGCCUAGUGGGCCUGUAGUAGGCUGAGAGAUGACAUGACCACGUUUCUGUCCAGCGUGAAGCGUUUUUGCGAUUGUAUUUGGAGCCGCUCCCCGGUUCCCACUCAGGUGUCAAAUUUUGAUUCCAGUCUGAAUUUAUAAGGUUAAUUUUUCUCCGAGUUCAAAAUUUGAUCGUGAAUUCUUUCUUCAAUAUAUUGUUAAUAUGUACAAAAUCGCAAUCUGCUUUUAAUUCACAAGAUACAAUUUUGGUUCUGUUCCGUUAUCACAGCCAAGAGAUUUGGGUUGGGCACUCAAAUUGCGCCUGGUAUAUAUAUUUGAGACUGGUCAUUGUUGGAGGUAGGGACACUACCGGAUUCCCAAGC